rnacentral:rRNA from 1 species
UGCGUAGGCGGAUUAAUAAGUCAGUGGUGAAAUCUCUCGGCUCAACCGGGAAACUGCCAUUGAUACUGUUAGUCUUGAGUUCGGUUGAGGUAGGCGGAAUGUGUAAUGUAGCGGUGAAAUGCUUAGAUAUUACACAGAACACCAAUUGCGUAGGCAGCUUACUAGACCGACACUGACGCUGAGGCACGAAAGCGUGGGGAGCGAACAGGAUUAGAUACCCUGGUAGUCC